rnacentral:rRNA from 1 species
UGGGGAAUAUUGCACAAUGGGCGAAAGCCUGAUGCAGCAACGCCGCGUGAGUGAUGAAGGCCUUCGGGUCGUAAAGCUCUUUGAUCAGGGAUGAUAAUGACAGUACCUGAAAAACAAGCCACGGCUAACUACGUGCCAGCAGCCGCGGUAAUACGUAGGUGGCGAGCGUUGUCCGGAAUUACUGGGCGUAAAGGAUGCGUAGGUGGAUACUUAAGUGGGAUGUGAAAUCCCCGGGCUCAACCCGGGAACUGCAUUCCAAACUGGGUAUCUAGAGUGCAGGAGAGGAAAGCGGAAUUCCUAGUGUAGCGGUGAAAUGCGUAGAUAUUAGGAGGAACACCAGUGGCGAAGGCGGCUUUCUGGACUGUAACUGACACUGAGGCAUGAAAGCGUGGGUAGCAAACAGG